UACGGAGAGUGCGAACGUUGUUCGGAUUCACUGGGCGUAAAGGGCACGUAGGCGGCUUGGCAAAUCGGUCGUGGAAUCCCGACGCUUACCGUCGGAACGGCGGCCGAAAAUACCGAGCUCGAGGGCGUGAGGGGUCACUGGAACUCCUGGUGAAGCGGUGAAAUGCGUAGAUAUCAGGAGGAACGCCGGUGGCGAAAGCGAGUGACUGGCGCGUUCCUGACGCUGAGGUGCGAAAGCUAGGGGAGCAAACAGG
rnacentral:rRNA from 1 species